GAUGAACGCUGGCGGCGUGCCUAACACAUGCAAGUCGAGUGAUUUACUUCGGUAAAGAGCGGCGGACGGGUGAGUAACGCGUGGGUAACCCGCCCUGUACACACGGAUAACAUACCGAAAGGUAUGCUAAUACGAGAUAAUAUACUUUUAUCGCAUGGUAGAAGUAUCAAAGCUUUUGCGGUACAGGAUGGACCCGCGUCUGAUUAGCUAGUUGGUAAGGUAACGGCUUACCAAGGCGACGAUCAGUAGCCGACCUGAGAGGGUGAUCGGCCACAUGGGAACUGAGACACGGUCCAAACUCCUACGGGAGGCAGCAGUGGGGAAUAUUGCUCAAUGGGCGAAAGCCUGAUGCAGCAACGCCGCGUGAGCGAUGAAGGCCUUCGGGUCGUAAAGCUCUGUCCUCAAGGAAGAUAAUGACGGUACUUGAGGAGGAAGCCCCGGCUAACUACGUGCCAGCCGCCGCCGUAA
rnacentral:rRNA from 1 species